rnacentral:lncRNA from 1 species
AUCACUAAUUACUAAAGAAAUGCAAAUCAAAACUAUAAUGAGGUACCCUCACCAGUCAGAAUGGUCAUCAUCAAAAAGUCUACAAACAAAAAAUGCUGGAGAAGGUAUGGAGAAAGGGAACUCUCCUACCCUGGUGAAGAACGGUAUGGAGAUUUAUUUUAAAAAGUAAAUAUAGAAAUACCCUAUGAUCCAGCAAUCCUACUCCUAGGUAUCUAUCUGGAGAAAACCACAAUUUGAAAAGAUACAGGCACCCCAAUAUACUUCACAGCACUAUUUACAGUAGUCAAGACAGAAGCAACCUAAAUGUCCAUUGACAGAGGAUUGGAUAAGGAAGAUGUGGUACAUAUAUACAAUGGGAUACUACUCAGCUAUAAAAAAUGAAAUAAUGACAUUUGAAGCAACAUGUAUGGACCUAGAGAUUAUCAUGCUAAAUGAAGUAAGACAGAGAAAGACAAAUAUCAUGAGAACACCAACAUGUGGAAUAUAAUAAAAAUGAUACCAAAGACCUUAGAGAACAGAAACAUAAUCAAAGAAUUUGAAACCAAAUUUAUAGUUACCAAAGGGGAAACAUAGGAGGAGGGAUAAACUAGGGGGUUGGGAUUGACAUGUAUACACUACUAUAUUUAAAAUAGAUAGGUAACAAGAACCUACUCUAUAGCACAGAGCAAUUUACUCAGUACUAUGUAGUAAUUUAUAUAGGAAAAUAAUCUGAAAAGGAAUGGAUAUUAUGUAUAACUGAUUUACUGUACUGUAUGCCUGAAAGCAAUAUAAGAUUGUAGGUUAAGUAUAUUCCAAUAGUAUUCAUCUUAAAAAAUCAUGUUUUACACAAACAAAACAAAACAGAGAUUGUCUGAGCUAAUGAUUACUCCAGCUGUUAAGAAAUUCCUCCCCCAGAGUUCCUACUCUGUGUCAGUGGUAACAAACACAACUAGUAUACACGAGGACAUGGUUUCGAUCCUUAGCCUCACCACUCAGUGGGUUAAGGAUCUGGCAGUGUUGCCAUGAGCCACAAUGUAGCUGGCAUGAAGAAUGGAAUGUUCUCCCUUCUUAGAAAUCAUGGCCCUGGAAAAACGUUUGAAUUUUCAUGAAUCAAACAGUUGACUCGAGCAACUUCCAACCACCCAGAAUGUCCUGAUUUCUCUUUGGGUCCCAUCUGGGCCAUAAUCAUGGAGUAUAUAUUGUGAUCUCCAUCAGUGAACUCAGAAAAUCAUCAAAUUCCAGACUAAAAAGGGACUUCAAAUGCAUUUUAAUUCAACUUUAAUCUUCUUUAUGGUUAAAUUAUUGAUGAUUAUUAGUAAUUUAUAUAAUACAUUUCUUAUAAGGAAGUUUUUUUUUCACCACGUGAGGAUUUGAAAUCUCCCUUCCUGAAAUUUUACCCAUUGUUUGCUCUUUAACUAAUAUUUGAAAAUAGAGCUUUUUAUAUUUGCCAGCUUCUGUGCUGUCUUGAGGCUGGAAAGAUGGGUAAGACACAGUUCCUGCUUUCAACAACUUCACAGUUGGAUUGGAAUAUACUUAUAUAAUUAAUAUACUGUAUGCACAUGAAAUGACACCUAUUUUUUUCAAAAGCACAGUAGAGAAAAACCUAACCCAAUCUGAGCUGACAAUGUAAUAUAAGGGGAAAUUUGUGGAGUAUGUGACAUGUCACUUCUCUCUCUAAUUUGUUAACCAUGUAGCUACUUAAUCAGCUACUAAUCAACUCAACUCUGUCAUCCAGGCCAAACUUUUACAUCUUCUUGGUAAACAUAAUAAUGUUUUCUGGGGACAUGGUAACUGAAUCCCCUUCCUUCUUUCUCCAUUUUACUCCCACCACUUUGUAGAAGCAAUAAUGUUUGAGGAAUUGACCUUAACUCCAAUCAUACUACCAUAUCCCUUGCCAGGAUCCCUAACCUAAGCUUAUCAAUGCACUGCAUUUCACUGAUGACAAUUACUGCUUAAGAACUAGGAACACUGUGAAGAGAAAAUUAAGUACGAUGCUUGGGAGUGACAUGUUCUCUUUGAUUUUCUCUUUCCAGAAAUUAAUCACGUAUCCUAUUUUCUACUACUGAACAACUUACAUCCAGUAUAAAGCUGACACUGUUAUCAAAAUAGAGAGACAGAAAAUAGCUGGAUCUUUGAUCACAUUGUUGAACUGCUGGAUCAACCAAUUCUGACACACACUUCCAAGCAUAUAAGACAAUAAGCUUACUUUUGUAGUCAAUUUGAUUUGGGUUUUCUAUUACUUGCAUGUAAAAGUAUCAAGUGUUUAACUGCCUAAAGAUGUAUUAAAAUGAAAGGAUGUGAUGUCUAUAUUUUUCUUUUCCUCCAAACAACCAGUCUAAUAACUUUAAGAAGGGAAAGAAAUUUUCCUUGGUAUUCCUUGUUUUUGUGAAUCAAUUAUGGUUCCUUGUGUCCAAAGGCACAUUUUCCUAAAGAAAUGUUCUUGAUUCACUUAGAGUAUGGCUAACAGUUGGAAGCAAUUCAGCCCCAUAAGUAUUGAUUACAUACUACUCUUCGCCCUGCAUUAUGCUUGGCACCAAGUUAUAUGCAAAGUGUUUCUGAGUAAGACAUAGUUCCUUUCUUUAAGGAGCCUAAAAUCCUUUGGAAAUCAAACGUAAUAUAAGGAGCCUGAACUUUGGAGUCAUAUGUUCAGUUUCAAAUUUUGUGCUGCCUAUUAUAUGUCUGGCAUUAUACAUAUGCUGUCUCAUUUAAUUUUUACAUCGAUUAAGGUCAUUAUUUAUGAAUGAGGAAAUUAAGUUCAAAGGGGUAACUAACUUUUACCAAAGUGACUUGUCAGACAUGGUGGAGCUGGGAAAUGAAUACAGGACUGAGUCUAAAACCAGAAGUAUAACCAAUCAUUUAGGUGGAAUCUGAAUGUGCUGCUAAUAGGGAAGCACCCCAGACAGUCAAUUUAUGUCUAUUGUACUUCUUCUGUUUUGGAGAUAUGAUAUGAAGUCAAAGGUGAUGCUGUUGGUCUUUUAAAGGCAAAACAAACCUCUCAAAUUAGGCAAAAGCUCCAUCUGAUGGCAAUUAGUGCAAAAGGCAUGAGCAUGUUUUGGUUAUUCAUCCAUGCAAUGAAGAUUUAUUAUACCUAAUAUAUGACAGGCAUUGUGUUUAGCACAAUGAAAGAUAUAAAGAUUCAUGAAGUUCAGUUUCUGCUCUGAAGGAGCCAUGGCCUUUUAAGUAACAAUAGCUUCCCUGUAUCAUAUAUAUACCAACUGCUAGGCAUUUUUCAUAAACCAUCUGUAAUCCUUAAAAGGCAUCAAAAAGUAAGUAUUUUUGUUCUCAUUCUAUGGAUUGGGAAUCUGAGGGUUGGAAAUGCUAGACAAAAGUCACACAAGCAAAGUCAAGAUCUGAAAGCAAAUCUGACCCUAAAUCUUGUUCUUAUUGUGGUGUCACUCAGUCACAUGUAUCUGAAGCUUAAAUUUGAUUGAGAGAAUUUGCAUCCACUAGGUCUUUUUAUUCUUCACUCCUACAACCUAACACUCAUUCCCUUUAACACUCAGUGCCUCACUCCAUGUAUUUCAGCUCUAUCUAUAAUAAUAGAAAUCUAUCAUAUUUCCUGAUACUUGUCAAGUGAUUGGUCCUGAGAAAUCUGAGGUCUGAGCCUUAUGUUUCAAGUUCUAUUGGCCAUAAUAGGCACGCUUGCCUCUAGUGUAGAACUGGUUGUAUUAUUUAGAUUCAAUUAAUACAUUUUAAACACUUACUAUAUAUGUUAUGCAUGUCUGCAUAUGUUAUUUCAUGAGUUCCAUUUUGCAAGUAAUAAAUUUGAAGCUGUAGAAAAUUGCUCAAGGUCACUCAAAUUGGAAAUGUAGGUCCAAGAUUCAAAUUCCAGUUCUCUCUGUCCAACAUAGUUUUAUGCAUGUAUCCAAUUUUUCUUCAAUAUAUUUCAAGGAUACAUUCAAAUCAAGUAUAUUUUCUGUUAUACCAGAUGUGAAUGUUGUCAGGUUUUAUAUAAUGAGAACUGCUUUUAUUUAAAGCAUUUGCUCUUUCUCUUCUUCUCAUUUUCCAUGAUCAUUUUUUGAAUAUUUUACAUCUAUGCAACCUCUGCUUUUUUCCUUGGUGUCUCAUAAUUACUGGUCCUGGCUCCAAGCUCUCUCCCAUAAGUAUUCCCAGAGGCCAUCCUUCUUCAUGUUACAAUCUGUCUAUCAGUUAAAUUUUCAUGAGAAACAUCUCCUUUGUGGCAUUUACCAAAGGAAAAGAAAAGCUCCCAAGCUUCUCUAAAUAGCACAAAAUAAUGCUUUUCUCAUGGUCUUUUUUUUAAAAAAAAGUUUUCUUUUCUUUUACACUUGUGUGAUUUGUCUCAUCAGUAAGAUCUAAAUAGCUUGCCGCAUGAAAACUAUUUGAGUAAAUUUUCUACAAAACUUUGGUGUGACUAAGACAGUGAUUUACCCUCCUUAGCUUCAGGUAAGGUCUUGAGAAUACUUUAUUAUUUUCAGAAAGAAGAAAUUAUCAAAUUAAAUGUGAGAUUUAUUUUCUUUUUUUGGUUUAUUAGGUUUUUAUAAAAUUAAAAAUUAAUUUUGUAUAAUUGAUUUACAGUAUUGUCAGUUUCUGCUGUACAGCAUAUUGUUUCAGUCAUAUAUAAAUGAAUGGCUAUAAUAAAACUCAACAGAGGUAAGGCAUUCAUUUGGGUAAGGCCACAAUAGUUUUAUGUCUGUUGCCUUACGAAGUUCUUGGUAACAAAUUAGAUUUUUCUCUGUUUCUUCCAUAAACCCAUCCUGCUUGAAGGCUUCAGUGUUGUGGCCCUUGAGUUGAAUUGAAAGAGGAAACAUAAAUAGAAAAACACAGGGGUCACCCAGUUGACAUAUGGAAGCUGUCGAGUGUUUUUGGAGUUCUAUCAAGACAAAACUGGAGAAAGGAAGGCUAAGACUACACUUUACUUGUGGAAAAGACAAGUAAGUGGGGGGAAAAUGUCCUAGUCUUUUAAGAGAAUAUCCAAAACCAUGCUUUCAACUAACACCUCCCGCCAAGGUAGUGAAGAAUAAUGAUCAAGGAGUCUGACGGGCCAGAGUCCAAAUCUCAUGUCAGCUACUUGUUAACUGCAAGUGACUUAACAUCCUUGGGGUGAAUAAUAAUCACUCCUUCAGAAUUGUUAUGUGGUUUAAAUAAGAUAAGGCAAAUAAAACACUUAGCACAGUGCUUGUUGAUCCUAAGUUCAGCAAAUAGUCUAGGUGUUAUCAUCAUCGUCAUCACUAUUAUUUUAUUUUCUAGAUGCAAGUCUUCAAUGCAGUCCAAGUGGUGUGACAGGACACUUCCCCUUGGGUAUCUAGUCAUCACCUAAACUUUAUAAUCCUGUAUGACAGAAAGAGAUUUUUCUGAGAUAAGAGUGAGAGGACAGUUGGGAAAAAUACCAUUGACCUAAGAGAUUUAAACUGCUCAUUGAUACCAAUCAAUCACACAUUUUCGGGUAUGCUUGUUGAGGCAAUUAGUCUUCAGUCUCUGUAAGUAAAGGUGCCUAGAUUUCCUAACUGGGGUAUUGGUGCUGUGAGAUUAUAUCAUUCAAAAUCUCGGCAUUCACUACAUCAUCAUCUAUCUUUAGAUAUCACAUGCUAUUAAUCCAAUAUUCUGAGGGUAAGAAAGUUUGGCAAGAAGGAAUUAGGAAGCUUUUGGUUGAAAUUGGAGGUGGUUUGGAAAAAAGGGCUGAGUAUUCAACUGAUUAUCCAGAUUCUGACACUUAGGACUUGCAACCCAAGAACUUUUAACAUAGUCCUUUAGUAGAAUUUACUAAAUUCCUGUAUUACCUAGCACUGGACUAGACAAAAGAAUGUUUGAAAUUACCCUUAAAAAUGAAGGAGCUUACAUGAUCUUUCAGAAUAAAAGAAGCAGAGGCAAUCAUAAAUUGAUAUCAAUGGCCAAGUUUUGCUUAGUUAUUUUCAGGUUUUGAAGAAUUAUCAACCAUAAAUAAUAGCUUCUCACCCCUCAAACUGAGUGAACUUGCUCUGAAUUUUCUAGCAAAUUUCACCUACUCAAGGAAGACAGCCAACCACUAGGCAGGCCAGCCAUUGCCUGAUAGCUACCUUUCCAUAGAUUAUGGAGAACCAGGGAGACAGCCAGAAAAGGAUGCCCAUCUCCACUCUCCUCCUCCUUCUCAACACACCACCAUUUAUUUUGCAAUGUAUUAAUUAACUUUGGCACAAUAUUUCUGAAUAACAAAUGACCCCAAGACUCAGUGGCUUAAAGGAACAAUCUUUUUUUUUUUUUUUUUCCAAUGAGUCUGUGGGUUGGCUCAGCUAGGACUGAGGCUGGGCUUACCUGGCUGGAUCUGCUUCUUACUUCAGGUUCCUGGGCCAGCUGGAGUGGCUCUGCUACAUGUGUCUCUCAGCAUUCUGGGAUUGAGAACCAGCCAAGGCAUGCU